UCUGUCCCUAGAGCAUUGCAGUUGUGACUGCUGUGUCACAUUGCGUCUGUAGGAAUAAAGAGAGAAGAGAGGCUUGUGUACUCAAGUGUUCUGAACCUGUGAACAUCUGAACAUUUAUCCUGAAAAA
rnacentral:snoRNA from 14 species